GCCUGGGUGGCUCAGUCGGUUGAGCGUCCGACUUCAGCUCAGGUCAUGAUCUCACGGUUCGUGGGUUCAAGCCCCACGUCGGGCU
rnacentral:tRNA from 1 species